UACAGGGGGUGCAAACGUUGCUCGGAAUUAUUGGGCGUAAAGCGCGCGUAGGCGGCUACUUAAGUCGGAUGUGAAAGCCCCUGGCUCAACUGGGGAAGUGCACCCGAAACUGAGUGGCUUGAGUGCGAAAGAGGGUCGCGGAAUUCCCGGUGUAGAGGUGAAAUUCGCAGAUAUCGGGAGGAACACCAAUGGCGAAGGCGGUUGCCUGGAGCUUUGCUGACGCUGAUGCGCGAAAGCGUGGGGAGCGAUCCGG
rnacentral:rRNA from 1 species